ACAGUACUAAUAUAUUUGAUUGUAUUGAGAGAAAAUUGAUACAACUGGAGAAAAGCUUGGGGAUUAACUAGUUGUGACCACAUAGAAAAACAAGCAAACAUACAAUGAAAGAUGACUCUUUUAACGACAGGGAAAACAAAAAGUUAUCCAGGAAAGGGAAACAGUCAUUGAGUUAAGUGAUCAUUAUAAUGUGAGCAAUAAAUACUGAUCUUACUAAAAUUACAAUAGAAAUGUAUUAGGAGGAUGAAGGGUAGGAGGAUGAAUGUGUAUGUAAGAGGGGGGAAGGAAAAAAAUCAUCUUCGUGAGCUAAUGCUUCAAAUUAAAAACACAUCAAGAAUCAGCAAUAUAAAUGUUACUUAGAGAUAUGAAGAAAAUAUCAAAAGAACUGGCUAAAAGAAUGGAGUCUUUGGGAAAUAAAAAAUGGAGAAUGGGAGGAAUUGCUUUUUUUUAAGUAAUAAAGCUCUUAAGUGCUUUACUUACUUAAAGUCAUUCAAUCCUUAAACAGUGGCUGGCAAGUAUGUAUAAUUCUUACUGCAUUUUACAGGUGAGCAAAAAUGAGGUCUAGAGAGGUUAGGUAACUUGCUCAAGGUCACACAGCUAGUAAAUGUCUAGUCUGAAUUUGAACCCCGCUAAUCCAUGAUCUUAGCUGUUUAUGCUAAGAUAACUCUCACAUUAUAGUCAUACAUAAUGUAAAUUAAAAUGAAGAUUAGACUGAAAAAGGAAGAAGAAAACUGAGAAAUGCUCCUACUAUCUGGGAAAGGGGCCCAUGCAAAUGUUAAGUAUUCCAGGUCUCCUCACUCUGGGCACGUGACAGAAUUUCACUUUUUGGAACCCUUGUGGUUGGGUGUGGCCAUGUGGCCAAUUCUGGCCGAUGAGUUUUGAGUGUAAGUGACAUACAUAAAGUCCUGUCCAUAUGAGACGUUCAAGUGUUCCUUUUCCUUCUCCCAGGGUGCAGACAAAUAUUUCUAGAGAAAGGAUGAUGACAACACAGAAGGACAGCCCUCAGCUGACCAGUGGUAGACAUACAGCUUGGUUUUAGAAAUGUAGAGUCAUUUUGGAAGGAGAGUUCUAGCUGAACACCUCUAUUUACUGGAUGGCAGCUACAUAAAAUGCAGCCUGAAAGGUUAAGAAGGAAAAGAGCUCCUGAAGGUCUGGCCUUGUCACCUGAAGCCUAUAAUGUAAGGAGAAAAGUCACAGAAUCAAUGCAAGAGUAGAAAAUUCAUGACUGGAAGCAUUAGGAUGCACAAAGAGGACCAAAUCUAAAGCUCAGUUACAGAGGAAGAACAGGACUGCUGCUACUUUGCAAACAUUUCAAGAGGUCACCCUCUGUGGGGAGGAUGAAGUCAACAAGAUGAAUCUCCUCAGAGUAAUUGCUGGAUAGUGUUGACGAACACUUGAAUCACGUCAUCGGACUGCAGCUGUACUGACAGCGGACCCCGAGCUGUCCUGCAUACUGUUGCUUUCGCCCUCCUAGGACGCGGCCAGGCCCCUGGAGACCUGGACAGCUGAAGCCGUAGACCCAGAACAUGGUCUCUCCCAUGGCAGAAAACCUGGUUGUGGGCUCUGCUUUGAAAUUCACUCUUGCAACACCAGACCCGCCACUGAGCACCAGCCGUAAAUGAAAGCAAAAGCUAGAGUUCAGGCGGAAGCUAAAAGUAAUUACACGGCCUUGGCUGACCCUUUCAGGGAUAGAUUCUUCCAUUUAUAACAGGGACUAAAACAGAAAAAAACCCACUGGAGGUGGUCAGGGCUGAAACAGUGUUUCUAGCAUCUUCCGGGUCACCACUCAGUAACUUAUUUCAAAUCGUUUUGAAUGGUGAGUUCUCACAUCCAGGUGUUCCUCUGCCUCACCUGUUUACAAAUGUCCUUACCGGUUUUUAUUCCAUUAGGCCUCAGCAUAGAAAAGUAACAAGCAUCUCAGGCUUCAGGGUUUUGAUUUUUAAAACGAACAAAAUAAAAAAGAGGCCAACAAAAAAACCCAGACUCUUAA